UUAAGCGACUAAGCGUACACGGUGGAUGCCCUGGCAGUCAGAGGCGAUGAAGGACGUGCUAAUCUGCGAAAAGCGUCGGUAAGGUGAUAUGAACCGUUAUAACCGGCGAUGUCCGAAUGGGGAAACCCAGUGCAAUUCGUUGCACUAUCGUUAACUGAAUACAUAGGUUAACGAGGCGAACCGGGGGAACUGAAACAUCUAAGUACCCCGAGGAAAAGAAAUCAACCGAGAUUCCCCCAGUAGCGGCGAGCGAACGGGGAGCAGCCCAGAGUCUGAAUCAGCUUGUGUGUUAGUGGAACGGUCUGGAAAGUCCGACGGUACAGGGUGAUAGUCCCGUACACCAAAAUGCACAGGCUGUGAACUCGAAGAGUAGGGCGGGACACGUGGUAUCCUGUCUGAAUAUGGGGGGACCAUCCUCCAAGGCUAAAUACUCCUGACUGACCGAUAGUGAACCAGUACCGUGAGGGAAAGGCGAAAAGAACCCCGGCGAGGGGAGUGAAAAAGAACCUGAAACCGUGUACGUACAAGCAGUGGGAGCACCUUCGGGUGUGACUGCGUACCUUUUGUAUAAUGGGUCAGCGACUUAUAUUCUGUAGCAAGGUUAACCGUAUAGGGGAGCCGCAGGGAAACCGAGUCUUAACUGGGCGUUAAGUUGCAGGGUAUAGACCCGAAACCCGGUGAUCUAGCCAUGGGCAGGUUGAAGGUUGGGUAACACUAACUGGAGGACCGAACCGACUAAUGUUGAAAAAUUAGCGGAUGACUUGUGGCUGGGGGUGAAAGGCCAAUCAAACCGGGAGAUAGCUGGUUCUCCCCGAAAGCUAUUUAGGUAGCGCCUCGUGAACUCAUCUUCGGGGGUAGAGCACUGUUUCGGCUAGGGGGUCAUCCCGACUUACCAACCCGAUGCAAACUACGAAUACCGAAGAAUGUUAUCACGGGAGACACACGGCGGGUGCUAACGUCCGUCGUGAAGAGGGAAACAACCCAGACCGCCAGCUAAGGUCCCAAAGUCAUGGUUAAGUGGGAAACGAUGUGGGAAGGCACAGACAGCCAGGAUGUUGGCUUAGAAGCAGCCAUCAUUUAAAGAAAGCGUAAUAGCUCACUGGUCGAGUCGGCCUGCGCGGAAGAUGUAACGGGGCUAAACCAUGCACCGAAGCUGCGGCAGCGACACUAUGUGUUGUUGGGUAGGGGAGCGUUCUGUAAGCCUGCGAAGGUGUGCUGUGAGGCAUGCUGGAGGUAUCAGAAGUGCGAAUGCUGACAUAAGUAACGAUAAAGCGGGUGAAAAGCCCGCUCGCCGGAAGACCAAGGGUUCCUGUCCAACGUUAAUCGGGGCAGGGUGAGUCGACCCCUAAGGCGAGGCCGAAAGGCGUAGUCGAUGGGAAACAGGUUAAUAUUCCUGUACUUGGUGUUACUGCGAAGGGGGGACGGAGAAGGCUAUGUUAGCCGGGCGACGGUUGUCCCGGUUUAAGCAUGUAGGCUGAUUGUCCAGGCAAAUCCGGAUAAUCAAGGCUGAGGUGUGAUGACGAGGCACUACGGUGCUGAAGUAACAAAUGCCCUGCUUCCAGGAAAAGCCUCUAAGCAUCAGGUAACAUUAAAUCGUACCCCAAACCGACACAGGUGGUCAGGUAGAGAAUACCAAGGCGCUUGAGAGAACUCGGGUGAAGGAACUAGGCAAAAUGGUGCCGUAACUUCGGGAGAAGGCACGCUGGUGUGUAGGUGAAGUCCCUGCGGAUGGAGCUGAGACCAGUCGAAGAUACCAGCUGGCUGCAACUGUUUAUUAAAAACACAGCACUGUGCAAACACGAAAGUGGACGUAUACGGUGUGACGCCUGCCCGGUGCCGGAAGGUUAAUUGAUGGGGUUAUCCGUAAGGAGAAGCUCUUGAUCGAAGCCCCGGUAAACGGCGGCCGUAACUAUAACGGUCCUAAGGUAGCGAAAUUCCUUGUCGGGUAAGUUCCGACCUGCACGAAUGGCGUAAUGAUGGCCAGGCUGUCUCCACCCGAGACUCAGUGAAAUUGAACUCGCUGUGAAGAUGCAGUGUACCCGCGGCAAGACGGAAAGACCCCGUGAACCUUUACUAUAGCUUGACACUGAACAUUGAGCCUUGAUGUGUAGGAUAGGUGGGAGGCUUUGAAGCGUGGACGCCAGUCUGCGUGGAGCCAACCUUGAAAUACCACCCUUUAAUGUUUGAUGUUCUAACGUUGGCCCCUGACCGGGGUUGCGGACAGUGUCUGGUGGGUAGUUUGACUGGGGCGGUCUCCUCCCAAAGCGUAACGGAGGAGCACGAAGGUUAGCUAAUCCUGGUCGGACAUCAGGAGGUUAGUGCAAUGGCAUAAGCUAGCUUGACUGCGAGCGUGACGGCGCGAGCAGGUGCGAAAGCAGGUCAUAGUGAUCCGGUGGUUCUGAAUGGAAGGGCCAUCGCUCAACGGAUAAAAGGUACUCCGGGGAUAACAGGCUGAUACCGCCCAAGAGUUCAUAUCGACGGCGGUGUUUGGCACCUCGAUGUCGGCUCAUCACAUCCUGGGGCUGAAGUAGGUCCCAAGGGUAUGGCUGUUCGCCAUUUAAAGUGGUACGCGAGCUGGGUUUAGAACGUCGUGAGACAGUUCGGUCCCUAUCUGCCGUGGGCGCUGGAGAAUUGAGGGGGGCUGCUCCUAGUACGAGAGGACCGGAGUGGACGCAUCACUGGUGUUCGGGUUGUCAUGCCAAUGGCACUGCCCGGUAGCUAAAUGCGGAAGAGAUAAGUGCUGAAAGCAUCUAAGCACGAAACUUGCCCCGAGAUGAGUUCUCCCUGAGACU
rnacentral:rRNA from 1 species